UACGGGGGGAGCAAGCGUUGUUCGGAAUCACUGGGCGUAAAGGGAGUCUAGGCGGUUUGGUAAGUGGGAUGUGAAAUCCCCGGGCUCACCCCGGGACCUGCAUCCCAAACUGCUGAGCUUGAGUACAGGAGAGGGUGGGGGAAUUCCAGGUGUAGCGGUGAAAUGCGUAGAUAUCGUUUGGAACGCCAAUGGUGAAAACAGGUUGCUGGGAGUGUGCUGACGCUGAGACACGAAAGCCAGGGGAGCGAACGGG
rnacentral:rRNA from 1 species